rnacentral:tRNA from 3 species
GCCUUCAUAGCUCAGCGGUAGAGCGCGACACUAGUAGCUCCUUUACCUACUGGAAUGUCGAGGUCUUGAGUUCGACUCUCAAUGGAGGCA